GCCGAAGGUCUUGGCGAUAAUGAUAAAAGGUACUCCGGGGAUAACAGGCUGAUACCGCCCAAGAGUUCAUAUCGACGGCGGUGUUUGGCACCUCGAUGUCGGCUCAUCACAUCCUGGGGCUGAAGUAGGUCCCAAGGGUAUGGCUGUU
rnacentral:rRNA from 1 species